AACAGGAUUAGAUACCCUGGUAGUCCACGCCGUAAACGAUGUCGACUUGGAGGUUGUGCCCUUGAGGCGUGGCUUCCGGAGCUAACGCGUUAAGUCGACCGCCUGGGGAGUACGGCCGCAAGGUUAAAACUCAAAUGAAUUGACGGGGGCCCGCACAAGCGGUGGAGCAUGUGGUUUAAUUCGAUGCAACGCGAAGAACCUUACCUACUCUCGACAUCCAGAGAACUUAGCAGAGAUGCUUUGGUGCCUUCGGGAACUCUGAGACAGGUGCUGCAUGGCUGUCGUCAGCUCGUGUUGUGAAAUGUUGGGUUAAGUCCCGCAACGAGCGCAACCCUUAUCCUUUGUUGCCAGCGGUUCGGCCGGGAACUCAAAGGAGACUGCCAGUGAUAAACUGGAGGAAGGUGGGGAUGACGUCAAGUCAUCAUGGCCCUUACGAGUAGGGCUACACACGUGCUACAAUGGCAUAUACAAAGAGAAGCGACCUCGCGAGAGCAAGCGGACCUCAUAAAGUAUGUCGUAGUCCGGAUUGGAGUCUGCAACUCGACUCCAUGAAGUCGGAAUCGCUAGUAAUCGUGGAUCAGAAUGCCACGGUGAAUACGUUCCCGGGCCUUGUACACACCGCCCGUCACACCAUGGGAGUGGGUUGCAAAAGAAGUAGGUAGCUUAACCUUCGGGAGGGCGCUUACCACUUUGUGAUUCAUGACUGGGGUGAAGUCGUAACAAGGUAACC
rnacentral:rRNA from 1 species